rnacentral:rRNA from 1 species
GGUUAAGCGACUAAGCGUACACGGUGGAUGCCCUGGCAGUCAGAGGCGAUGAAGGACGUGCUAAUCUGCGAAAAGCGUCGGUAAGGUGAUAUGAACCGUUACAGCCGGCGAUGUCCGAAUGGGGAAACCCAGUGUGAUUCGUCACACUAUCGUUAACUGAAUACAUAGGUUAACGAGGCGAACCGGGGGAACUGAAACAUCUAAGUACCCCGAGGAAAAGAAAUCAACCGAGAUUCCCCCAGUAGCGGCGAGCGAACGGGGAGCAGCCCAGAGUCUGAAUCAGCUUGUGUGUUAGUGGAACGGUCUGGAAAGUCCGACGGUACAGGGUGAUAGUCCCGUACACCAAAAUGCACAGGCUGUGAACUCGAAGAGUAGGGCGGGACACGUGGUAUCCUGUCUGAAUAUGGGGGGACCAUCCUCCAAGGCUAAAUACUCCUGACUGACCGAUAGUGAACCAGUACCGUGAGGGAAAGGCGAAAAGAACCCCGGCGAGGGGAGUGAAAAAGAACCUGAAACCGUGUACGUACAAGCAGUGGGAGCACCUUCGGGUGUGACUGCGUACCUUUUGUAUAAUGGGUCAGCGACUUAUAUUCUGUAGCAAGGUUAACCGUAUAGGGGAGCCGCAGGGAAACCGAGUCUUAACUGGGCGUUAAGUUGCAGGGUAUAGACCCGAAACCCGGUGAUCUAGCCAUGGGCAGGUUGAAGGUUGGGUAACACUAACUGGAGGACCGAACCGACUAAUGUUGAAAAAUUAGCGGAUGACUUGUGGCUGGGGGUGAAAGGCCAAUCAAACCGGGAGAUAGCUGGUUCUCCCCGAAAGCUAUUUAGGUAGCGCCUCGUGAACUCAUCUUCGGGGGUAGAGCACUGUUUCGGCUAGGGGGUCAUCCCGACUUACCAACCCGAUGCAAACUACGAAUACCGAAGAAUGUUAUCACGGGAGACACACGGCGGGUGCUAACGUCCGUCGUGAAGAGGGAAACAACCCAGACCGCCAGCUAAGGUCCCAAAGUCAUGGUUAAGUGGGAAACGAUGUGGGAAGGCACAGACAGCCAGGAUGUUGGCUUAGAAGCAGCCAUCAUUUAAAGAAAGCGUAAUAGCUCACUGGUCGAGUCGGCCUGCGCGGAAGAUGUAACGGGGCUAAACCAUGCACCGAAGCUGCGGCAGCGACACUAUGUGUUGUUGGGUAGGGGAGCGUUCUGUAAGCCUGCGAAGGUGUGCUGUGAGGCAUGCUGGAGGUAUCAGAAGUGCGAAUGCUGACAUAAGUAACGAUAAAGCGGGUGAAAAGCCCGCUCGCCGGAAGACCAAGGGUUCCUGUCCAACGUUAAUCGGGGCAGGGUGAGUCGACCCCUAAGGCGAGGCCGAAAGGCGUAGUCGAUGGGAAACAGGUUAAUAUUCCUGUACUUGGUGUUACUGCGAAGGGGGGACGGAGAAGGCUAUGUUAGCCGGGCGACGGUUGUCCCGGUUUAAGCAUGUAGGCUGAUUGUCCAGGCAAAUCCGGAUAAUCAAGGCUGAGGUGUGAUGACGAGGCACUACGGUGCUGAAGUAACAAAUGCCCUGCUUCCAGGAAAAGCCUCUAAGCAUCAGGUAACAUUAAAUCGUACCCCAAACCGACACAGGUGGUCAGGUAGAGAAUACCAAGGCGCUUGAGAGAACUCGGGUGAAGGAACUAGGCAAAAUGGUGCCGUAACUUCGGGAGAAGGCACGCUGGUGUGUAGGUGAAGUCCCUGCGGAUGGAGCUGAGACCAGUCGAAGAUACCAGCUGGCUGCAACUGUUUAUUAAAAACACAGCACUGUGCAAACACGAAAGUGGACGUAUACGGUGUGACGCCUGCCCGGUGCCGGAAGGUUAAUUGAUGGGGUUAUCCGUAAGGAGAAGCUCUUGAUCGAAGCCCCGGUAAACGGCGGCCGUAACUAUAACGGUCCUAAGGUAGCGAAAUUCCUUGUCGGGUAAGUUCCGACCUGCACGAAUGGCGUAAUGAUGGCCAGGCUGUCUCCACCCGAGACUCAGUGAAAUUGAACUCGCUGUGAAGAUGCAGUGUACCCGCGGCAAGACGGAAAGACCCCGUGAACCUUUACUAUAGCUUGACACUGAACAUUGAGCCUUGAUGUGUAGGAUAGGUGGGAGGCUUUGAAGCGUGGACGCCAGUCUGCGUGGAGCCAACCUUGAAAUACCACCCUUUAAUGUUUGAUGUUCUAACGUUGGCCCCUGACCGGGGUUGCGGACAGUGUCUGGUGGGUAGUUUGACUGGGGCGGUCUCCUCCCAAAGCGUAACGGAGGAGCACGAAGGUUAGCUAAUCCUGGUCGGACAUCAGGAGGUUAGUGCAAUGGCAUAAGCUAGCUUGACUGCGAGCGUGACGGCGCGAGCAGGUGCGAAAGCAGGUCAUAGUGAUCCGGUGGUUCUGAAUGGAAGGGCCAUCGCUCAACGGAUAAAAGGUACUCCGGGGAUAACAGGCUGAUACCGCCCAAGAGUUCAUAUCGACGGCGGUGUUUGGCACCUCGAUGUCGGCUCAUCACAUCCUGGGGCUGAAGUAGGUCCCAAGGGUAUGGCUGUUCGCCAUUUAAAGUGGUACGCGAGCUGGGUUUAGAACGUCGUGAGACAGUUCGGUCCCUAUCUGCCGUGGGCGCUGGAGAAUUGAGGGGGGCUGCUCCUAGUACGAGAGGACCGGAGUGGACGCAUCACUGGUGUUCGGGUUGUCAUGCCAAUGGCACUGCCCGGUAGCUAAAUGCGGAAGAGAUAAGUGCUGAAAGCAUCUAAGCACGAAACUUGCCCCGAGAUGAGUUCUCCCUGAGACUUUAAGUCUCCUGAAGGAACGUUAAAGACGAUGACGUUGAUAGGCCGGGUGUGUAAGCGCAGCGAUGCGUUGAGCUAACCGGUACUAAUGAACCGUGAGGCUUAACCUU